UACGGAGGGUGCAAGCGUUGUCCGGAUUUAUUGGGUUUAAAGGGUGCGUAGGCGGCCCUGUAAGUCAGUGGUGAAAUACUGCAGCUUAACUGUAGCAUUGCCAUUGAUACUGCAGGGCUUGAGUACAGAUGAGGUAGGCGGAAUUGAUGGUGUAGCGGUGAAAUGCAUAGAUACCGGGAGGAACACCGGUGGCGAAGGCGGUUCUCUGGGCCUUACCUGACGCUGAGGAGCGAAAGCGUGGGGAGCGAACAGG
rnacentral:rRNA from 1 species